UCCGGUUGAUCCUGCCGGACCUGACUGCUAUCGGAUUGAUACUAAGCCAUGCGAGUCAUUGUAGCAAUACAAGGCAGACGGCUCAGUAACGCGUAGUCAACCUACCCUAUGGACGGGGAUAACCUCGGGAAACUGAGAAUAAUACCCGAUAGAACAUUAUACCUGGAAUGGUUUAUGUUUCAAAUAAUUUAUUGCCGUAGGAUGGGACUGCGGCCUAUCAGUUUGUUGGUGAGGUAAUGGCCCACCAAGACUAUUACAGGUACGGGCUCUGAGAGGAGUAGCCCGGAGAUGGGUACUGAGACACGGACCCAGGCCCUAUGGGGCGCAGCAGGCGAGAAAACUUUGCAAUGUGCGAAAGCACGACAAGGUUAAUCCGAGUGGUUUCUGCUAAAGGAACCUUUUGUUAGUCAUAGAACCACUAACGAAUAAGGGGUGGGCAAGUUCUGGUGUCAGCCGCCGCGGUAAAACCAGCACCUCAAGUGUUCAGGAUGAUUAUUGGGCCUAAAGCAUCCGUAGCCUGCUUUGUAAGUUUUCGGUUAAAUCCAUACGCUCAACGUAUGGGCUGCCGGGAAUACUGCAUAGCUAGGGAGUGGGAGAGGUAGACGGUACUCGGUAGGAAGGGGUAAAAUCCUUUGAUCUAUUGAUGACCACCUGUGGCGAAGGCGGUCUACCAGAACACGUCCGACGGUGAGGGAUGAAAGCUGGGGGAGCAAACCGGAUUAGAUACCCGGGUAGUCCCAGCUGUAAACUAUGCAAACUCGGUGAUGCAUUGGCUUGAUGCCAAUGCAGUGCCGCAGGGAAGCCGUUAAGUUUGCCGCCUGGGAAGUACGUACGCAAGUAUGAAACUUAAAGGAUUUGGCGGGG
rnacentral:rRNA from 1 species